GCCGCUGACCUUGGGCAGCCUAAGUGAGCUGCGGAGAUAUUUUUUUUUAAAGUCUCUCUUCUGCUUUGCUCCCCAGCUCCUCGACUGCAGAAGAGUUCUAGGGUGGCACACCCCUACAUAUUGGCGGCAAUUGAUAUGCUUGAAUACACACACGAUAGGGAAGCGGUGGAAAAUAUGGGAAAUUUAAAAUGGACAGGUGGCCGCGCGAUCACCCAGUGUGCUUCUAGCACGCAGUUUCCACCACUUGGGUCCGCUACUAAAGCGAGUGCCUCCAGGACAGGGAAGACCCCAGCAGCCCGGUGGCGAAAUAAACUGAUAAGGAAACUGAGGCCCAGAGAUGCAUGUUAUCUGAAGUGCCAGAGCCCAGGGUCUUGAACUCAAACUGAUUCCAGUUAGAAUAAAUGAAUGAGGCCGGGCCUGGUAGCUCAUGCCUGUAAUCCCAGAA